UUCUUAUAGACCAGCAAGAAGAGCAGACCUGUCAGGCUGAUUUGAGGAUCUUCCUUCCGGUAAAAUUCAUUCUCAACCCUUCUUGUUGUUUCAUAGCCUUUCGGGCUUUUUUUUUCUUUUAUUUUUCUUUUUCCUCGGAAUUUUGAAUGUAAUUGAUUUGGGCCCUGAAAGCUGAAUUUCAUUUCCCUUGAUUAUGAUCUAUUUUGUAUAGUUCUUUUAGUUGCUUGGCUUUUUUUUUUGGGUUCAUUAAUUUUUUUUCUAUGAUCAUCUUGAUUUUGGAUAUUUUGAUAAUUUCGAUUGUGAUAUUCUUACAUGACAUAAAAAUAUUACAUUGUGAUAUUGAAGUAAAAUGAUUAAUGUUUUCGCCAUUUAUCAAACAAAUUAGGAGCAUAAGAUUGUGUUGGGAGGUAAAAAUAUGAAUUAAUAGAUUGAUGAGCUUGGAGCUCCAUCAUUUUCUUUCAUUCAGAAUUACUAAGCAUGAUCAAGGUGGUUGUAUCUAAUGUGAGAGAGCAGGGGAGCUGCUCCAUUCUUGAAUCAAGGUGUUUGUGGCGCGAGAAGGGAGGCCAUCUGUGACGAGUAUUUUGCUGCAUUAAGUAGAGAAGCUUAAAAGUUAAUUUGGAAGUUG
rnacentral:lncRNA from 1 species